AUCAAAGCCGCCAUGGCCGUGCGUAAGUGCACCUUUGUGAUUUAAGCCAACACGCUCGUGUCCGCCGGCCGAGACAGAAAUAGCCAGAAGCAAGCAUAUUAUUGUAUUUUGCUUGCCGUUACUACUGCAACGAUGCCGUUCAUAAAGGAUCAGCCUAUUUUAUAUGCACGAAUCUGGCCAGGGCCACAAUGCAUUCACUCUACGCCAGCGUCGACAGUUUGCCUCAGACGACCGGCGGCCCUUCGGCGAGGGAACGAUAUGACAUUCUUCGUGCUCGUGCAUCUUCAGUUAAUUGAUGGUGGAUCAAACCGUGAAAAUCUAAUUAUCAAGUUGAAGAUUUGGCUUAUGUGAAGACAGCCGCUACCAUUUGAGCAGAUUAAUCCGAAUUCACUGGAUUUAGCCAAAUUCGUUCUACAGAUUAUUUUCGAUUGUGAUGUAUGUGAAUCAGCGAAUUAUCACACACGAUCCAGAUACCGGAACGAGUAAAAAAUUCAAUUGACUAUAGAAUGACGGACGGACUUCGAAUGGAAGAAAAUAAUAGAUCAUAUGUAUGCAAAAAUACUUGAUUGAAAUUCAGAAAUAUAGCUGUUCAGGAACAGAUUUUUGUACAGACAAUUUCAGCACAAAUUAAAUUUUUCCAUAACAAAUCCGAAAACUAUCCUAUUUGUGGGACUCUCCAGGUGUGAUUCUAGAAAAAAAAAACCUAAUUUACUCAUUUUUUCUCGUUUUUUUUUCCUGCAAGAUUUUUCGUUUGUUAUGAUUAAUUAAUCAAAAACGCAGUUCAAUCCUAGUUGAAGCGAAAUCGUUUAUGACAAGCACCAUAGUGAAGACUACCUAACUGUCCAAAUAAAUAAC